UAGACUUGUGCUGGAGGUUGGCAUGAUCACGAAGCACGGCUUUCUCACUGGUUCACGGUGCUCUUUCAUGCGAAGCAUUUCUGAUGUUUUGACAAAAAUCCUGAGAGGGCUGAUGGGCUAUGGGGUCUGGCCAGUUUCCCAUGUAGGGGAUGGGAGCCCCUGCAAGAGGAGAUCUGCCUGCCAUCUGGGGAGACACUCAGAGGAUCAUUUCCUGCUCUACAAAACGGGGCUAACAACACCCACCUACACAUGGGCGUUGUGAAGAGUAGGUUUUGCUUUCUCUUAGAUGGAAGCCUUGGAGGGCUGGGACUGGACCUUUCACCAUGCAGCCUGGUACAAUAGCAGAGCCUGUACCCAACACUCAG